CAAAAGGACUGCAUAAUGUAAACACUCUUGAGACAGAUGACCAAUUUGUUUCCUGCAGUUUGUUCGCAUUUACACACUUCUAACAAUAUGGAGAUGUAUGUCUCACUGAAAUCAUGAUGACAACAGAGUUUUUUGCUUCUGUCUGCCAAUUUUUCCUUUGGGGCACUCAUCAUUUUGAUUACUUAAAUAUGCAUCUUAUGGUAGAAACUGGAACCACUGUCUUGAAUCAAAAGAUGGAAGAAGCUUCUCUUGAAGAUUAAAGGGACACAAGACAGAAGUUGUCUGUGUCCCUGAGGGCUUAGCA
rnacentral:lncRNA from 10 species